rnacentral:rRNA from 1 species
UACGUAGGGUGCGAGCGUUGUCCGGAAUUAUUGGGCGUAAAGGGCUCGUAGGCGGUCCAUCGCGUCGGGAGUGAAAAGCUGGGGCUUAACCCCAGUCCUGCUUUCGAUACGGGUGGACUAGAGGUAGGCAGGGGAGAAUGGAAUUCCUGGUGUAGCGGUGAAAUGCGCAGAUAUCGGGAGGAACACCAGUAGCGAAGGCGGCACUCUGGGCCGUGACUGACGCUGAGGAGCGAAAGCGUGGGUAGCAAACAGG